rnacentral:lncRNA from 1 species
GCAAAAGCAACAGUGUUUGUGGUGAAUGUCAAAGAAGGAGCCCAGGCCCCGUGGCGGGGAUUGUUUCCUUGUGAGUAGGUUCCUAAAGGAGCAAUUCCUGGCUUCCGCGUCCUGAGCGUAAGGACUCGAGCUGCUCUGUCCGACGUCAUAAGGUGGAAGAUAGAACUUUGCAGGCUCGUUGACGGGAUGAGGGCCACCCUCGAAAAGAUCUGUUGCCACUCGGUUAAGAAAUCAGAAACAAGGAGCAGGAGAAAAAGCAAGACCCUGCAGCUGGAGUGGCUAGACACAGAACUGCCCUCCUCGGAAGUAUCAAAGGACCCAGCUCCUGGGGACGGCCCCCAAGGUCAGCUCUCGCCUCCAGUGCCCUUUCUCUUCCUUGAUUCUUCUUGAACCCCACUAAAGUGUUGAACUUCUCAGUUACCCUAUGAGUUAGGGAGGGAUAACCACCCCCACACCAGAGAUUGACAAGCUGGGAUGCAGAGAAAGAAGCAAGUUUCCCAGUAUCCUGCAGGCUGCAGAAUUUAUUUUCUGGGUUCCAGCGUUCUUCCGUCACCUUCCACGCCCUCCUCUGUCAUGGCCCACAGAGCCACAAGAGCUCCUUCAGACUGGUGUUUGGAGAGAAUGGCUUAUGGAUAUCAUCUUUAACUUUGCUAAAUCAUUAUUCUGAGAAGGGUCCACAGGCUUCAACAGAUGCCAAAGGGGUUCACGACACACACAAAAAAAAUGGGAAUUGUUAGGACAUUCAUCCAAAAGCCAUUUGUUAAGCACCGGUUGGAUGUGUGGACAAGGGAGAUAGAUGACUCUCAAAUUUCUGGCCUGAGUGUCGAAGUGGAGAAUUCUACUUUUCAGCAAGAAACAGAAUGUGUGUGAGGAGCGAGGGGAGAUCAAACUUGUGAGGGAAGGAAAUUGUUGAGCUUUGAACUUGACAAGCAGGGGCUGAAUGUGCGGUACACAAUAGUGAGGCUUCCAGAAGCCUGUAAAAAGGCCUCUUCUGCUUUAGUUAUCAACAAAUUAAAGUACGCUGUGUGGCGCGAUCUUUAUCAUCGCAGUUUUAAUCCUCCGACAAUUCCCCUGCAGUUGGGUAAGCAGAGCAACACCCUCUCUCAGUGCGGAGAGGUUGCACGCCUUCAAACAGCACUUUUCAAGAUGACCAUUUGGAAGCAACAUUUGGAGAACAUUUGGGUUAUGUCCUCUAACUGAAUUUCCAAGCUGUUGGUAACGGACUAAAGAAAAUGCAGUCUGUACUGAAUCCUAAGAAAGCAAGAGUGUGAGAGCCUUGAAGGUCAUGUGUAAAUAUUGACAUUUUAAUUUUCUUUAGCAUACCAAAGUGGGGCGCUUGUGUUGCUUAUCUUCCAUAAAAACUCACCCAUUUGCACUGCUCCCCAGAUUGUCGGGGGAGAGAUCUAAUCUGAGCAGCCGUGGGUGCUCUUCCUUGUCUUUGCUAACAAGGCUGAGUUUUGUUUGUGCAAAAUCUGAGUCAGAGGGGCGUUCCUCCCCUCUCGUCUCCACCACGGCCUGAUGCACCUGAUUAGAUAACAGAAAUCUGUGGGCUGAAUGUUCAUGUAGUAACAUGAAAGCCAAGAUGCAAAACAUUCAGGGAAAACAGCCUCCCACUCUCUCAGAGAGUCAAGUUAGGCUAUUUGGGGAACUAAUAACUGGCUAAUUUGGCCAGAACACCUUUCUAUGUGUCCUCAGAAGCAGCACGAGGAAGAAAUGCCAGCAUGUCCUCAGUCUCUGUACCCUUCUCACAAACCAGGACUCCACCUGCAUAGCUUAAUUUAAUCAGGGCCAAUUCUGAAGGUGAAAUGCAGGUGACAGCCCCAUCUCCCCGCCAACAGCAGUGGUUAGUGCUCCCCAGGCGCUUAACAACUUCGCCAAGACGCUUAGGGGCUGACCUACUGCAUUACUUUCCUACGCCAAAGCCAAGAGCCCCGCUUAUGGAGAACAGCCUGGCAGUUUGAUAACAUGCCAGAGGCUCCUGUCUCCCCACGGUGAGGUCACUGGAAUCAUUUCCCUCCUGAGACAUGGUCGAUUGAAACGCAGCUCUUGUGAAAUGAGGGGCCAGUGAGUGAAACAUGGAGAAAGCAGGGCCACCUCAAAUGGUCUUUGGCCUGAAAGGUUUUUCCUAAGUGAAAAGAAGAAAACUGAAUGUUGGAUCAAAACGAUCUUCCAGUGCUUCAUAACUCAAGCUCUCCGACUGACCUCAAAAAGGGGGAGAUGGCCCAAAAGACCAACAUCAUUGUCUGCUCUCUGCAUUUGAAUUUUGAAAGGUGCUCCUCAAACAUUAAUGAUCUAGCCUCUGUGCCCAAAUAAAUGUCAUGAUUUACUACUCACACUCUAGUUACAAAGCUAAUCACCCUUCCCUCCUCCAGCUCUGUAAGUCUUGGCCGGUUCAAUGAUUGAAAUACCUAGCGCAAGAGAUUAAAGGAACUCUCAAAGAUACAUUACUUUGUUUUGUGUUGAAGCAGUACUGAGUGGGCAGAGUGAGUCCCAUUCAAAAUUCCCAAAUGGGCAAAUUGUGUGCCUGUUGGCCCUUCCCUCCUCUCUCCGGGCUUUCCUCUCACCUCCUUAGCAAACCACCCCUUCAUCCCCACUGAUGAACUUCCAAGGUUCUUCCAGCUCUGUUGGUCCCUUUUAGCCACUGGAAAACAAAGCCAAUAACUAGCUUAGCAUAUUUGCCUGCGUGAAUUAAUUUUGUGUUUUGCUGAAACCCAGAGAAUUUCCAUUUUUAAGGGAAGGAAAGAAAGCCAAAGGAAGGAAUCUUUAGGGUGGAAUGUCAGACACCAUGACACCUGGAUAAAAUAUAAUUUGGGGCAGGGGACGAUAUUCUCAACAUCCCAAAAGUAGAAAAACCAGUCAAGUUCAGUACCCAUCAGGCAGACCUGGUAAAUUUCAGGACAGGGCCCUCCCCCACCCCCAACAUAUACACAACUUCCCACUGUGAUGUUCUAGGCAUAGUGUAUAAUAGCUCUACCUACCUACUCAGAGCCUAAUACUAAUUAGUUUUAAUUAACCUAAUACCUGAUGCCUGAAUACCUGAACUAAAUUAACAGAGUCUGGCUGUCCUGGUUAUUCCCAAGAUCCUCUUGCCUUCCCACCCCCACAAAAAAAUGGCCCAGUAGUUAAAAAAAAGUCCAGAAAUGAAUAAAGAGCAUGAUAGAGUUUCUUUAGAACAUCUAAGUUAAUGUUGCACAAUUCACUGUUUCUGUAAAGAGUUUGAUUCCCCUAGUUGGCCCUGAUUUGUUUCAGCCUAAAGUCUACGAUGCUUUCCUUCCGGUUUGGUCUCCUCCACAUAUUCGAACCUAUAGAGGUGAGUGGCGAGACUGAGAAGACUUGUUUUAUUCGAGUUUGUGAAAAUGAUAGCUUUUAUCAAGUUCGAUGUCAUAAGUUUUCUUCCACAAGACAGAAGAGUAUCCUUCCUGGUGAGCAAUAGUUCUUUAUUACAUAGAAAUCGUUCCUAAUUCUCAGCAGAUAGAGCAUUAGAGAAAACAGGUGUAUUCUCCCAAGUCACAAAGAAUAAUGUGAUGGUCAAUAUGAUUGACUGUUGUAAGCUUUCAUAGCUCAUUUCAGACUGAGAUCCUGAAAUACGGGAAAAGAUCAGUGCCUGCUGGCCAAGGGAGAUCAUUGUGCUGACCAAGGGAGACCAUUGCUGGAGGCAGAAAAUAAACCUCCCAAAAGGUGACCGGGACAACCAUCACUUUCAACAGUGUGUUAAAAGCAAUAAGAUAAAAGGAAUAGGAAACUUAGACUGUGCUUCCUGGAUUCACAAAACAUUCUCAAAAGAAGAGGUAAAUUUCCAUUUUCUGUGAAGUUUAAAAUCUACAAUUUUCUGGCAUCAUUGCCGGAUAUGUAGGAAAAAAAAUCUUUUUUUCGUCUGGUGUAGUGUAUCCCAAUCAGUGUGCACAUCAGGAACACCUGGAGAAUUACGUGGAGUUUUGUUUAUUUGUUUGCUUGUUUCCAAAAUACGUGGUAGCAAUCCACUACAAAAUUUGUACUGAAACUGAAUUUCAUAGUCUGAGGUCAAAGAAAUGUGUACUUUCAAAAAUUCCCCAAGUAAAUUCUGAGAUUGACUCCUAAUUCAACAACACAAAUAUAAACCCUUUAAUUCUACCUUUGAAAGUUGUGAUGACCAACUUUCAGAUUUAAAACCCAUACCUUCUUGACUUGGUAUGUGGGGACAAGGAAAGGAGAGAGUUUAAAUGCUGAAGACAACUUUGACAAGAGUGAACAUGAGGUUAACAAAUUUAGAACCCAAAAUAAAAGAAGGAGAGAACUGUCUUUCCUUGUCUUCUUUCACUCUGCUCUCUCUUGAUUCUCCUCUCGGUAUUGCUGCCAGGCCCUCUCCCUCUGCCUGCUCCAGAAAGGUUUUCUUCCCAUGGUCCUCUUACCCUGUCAGCCUAAGUACUAUCCUAGAUGACCUCAUCAAUCUCCUUGGCUCCAACCCCACAUACACUUGACUCCUGAAUUAGGCUGCGCAGGCUGCCAUAACAAAGUACCACACACUAGGUGCCUUAAACAAUAGACUUUUUAUUUUUUCAUGGUUCUUGAGGCUGGAAGUCCAAGACAAGAUAUUGGCAGGGUUGGUUUCUGGGGACUCUCUCCUUGGCUUAUAGAUAGCCAUCUUCUCUCUGUGCCUUCACAUGGUCUUCCUGCUGGGUGUAACUCUGAGUUCUAAUUUCCUCUUCUUAUAAGGACACCAGCCAUAUUGGAAUAGAGCCUACCUUGCUAACUUGAUUUUCAUUUAUUACCUCUUUUUAAGACUCUGUCUUCAAAUAGAGUCACAUUCUGAGGUGUUGGGGAUUAGAACUUCAACAUAUGAAUUUUGGGGGAAUACAAUUCAGCCCAUAACAACUCCAAAUUCUGUAACUCUAGAUCUACCUAAUGAGUGGUUCAUGAAGUUGAAGAACUCUCACAUGAAAACAAAGGGUAAGACAUCUGUGCUGCUUACGAUAUCAAAACAAGGACCAACGUGUGGAAGAUAAAGUUUGAAAUUUUCAGCCCAAUAUAAAAGAAGGAUUAUGUGACAAUAAGAAGGGUCUAGUUUUAUGGGCUGCUUCUCCUGACAAUAUGUCCCCACCACAGGAAGGGCACAGCAGAGGCUGGAUGGGUGCCUAUUAGGCCUGUCUUCAGGGAGAUACGGCAUGGGCCUCCAAGGUCCCUUUUCCUUCUUUAAUCUGAUGACUUUAGUGAAGGAACAUGAGCUCACAGGUGUUAAAUCAAGAUGAUCAAAAUAAAGUAGUAGCAGAGCUAAAAAGCAGAUGCAUACAUGUGUCUGUAAAUGCAGCACAAUCAGCCAGGAGAAAAACGAGUUUUUGGAACUCUUAGAUUCCUACCCUCCCUGGAGUAAUACAAUGGCAGCCAAGAUAGGGGUGUGAGUCGUUUCAAAAAUGCUAAGGCCUAGGGUAAAGCUGGCGGGUAAGAGUGGAGCUAGACCAACUCAGAAGUGUCUUUCCCAAGAUAAAAUUAUCAUUCAACAAGUGGAUGUCCAUGACAAUUCAAAUGGAAAUUUUUCAAAAGGAAUCACAAAGGUCAGAACCCAGUCGAUUUGACAUCAAUAAAUCUGCUCUAAGCAUCCACUUACAAGGGAUGUGCACAAAAGCCACUCAGGAGGCCAUCUGGUGGCUUGUGUCAGCAUCAAUGGGCCAGUUGUUGGAAGACCCUGACUCAGGAUCCAAUUCUUCUGUAUACUAGUCAGCUGACCUAAGGUAAGUCCUUGCCUUCUCGGAGCCUCAAUUUCCUUAUCUGAAAAAUAGGAAUAAUAUUACCUAUCCUGACACCAAGUUGUGAAAUUUGAUGAGAUCAUGUAAUUUAACUAUGAAUUUAACCAUGCAAUUUAAUUCAAUUCAACUAUGAAUUGUAAUGCCUUAUUCAAAUAUACGGUUUUAAUGUUAUUGCCGUUAUGUUUUUGUUCUUGCCCAAGGUAACUGCC